rnacentral:rRNA from 1 species
CCUACGGGAGGCAGCAGUGGGGAAUAUUGCACAAUGGGGGAAACCCUGAUGCAGCGACGCCGCGUGAGUGAAGAAGUAAUUCGUUACGUAAAGCUCUAUCAGCAGGGAAGAAACACUGACCUUACGGUCAGCAGACGGUACCUGAGUAAGAAGCCCCGGCUAACUACGUGCCAGCAGCCGCGGUAAUACGUAGGGGGAAAGCGGUAUCCGGAUGUAUUGGGUGUAAGGGGAGCGUAGACGGUGCGCCAAGUCUGGAGUGAAAUGCCGCAGCUUAACUGCGGAACUGCUUUGGAAACUGGCGAACGAGAGUGCGGGAGGGGUAAGCGGAAUUCCUAGUGUAGCGGUGAAAUGCGUAGAUAUUAGGAAGAACACCGGUGGCGAAGGCGGCUUACUGGACCGUAACUGACGUUGAGGCUCGAAAGCGUGGGGAGCAAACAGGAUUAGAUACCCUAGUAGUC